rnacentral:lncRNA from 1 species
AGAAGUGGAAAUGUAAGGGCUUUUUUACCAUAAAGAAGCAGCAUAAAGUCAUUAAUGUUGUUUUUCAGCUGGAAUGUGCUUUAUGAGAAUUACACUAGAAGAAGCCCGAAGGAGGACUUGUGGAAAACAUGCCUGAGCAAAGCAUGGGCAGUGAAAUUGUUGCAUCAUGACAUUGAUCCAGGGCUCUGGGGACAGCAGAGGAGAUAUCAUGGAAAUUUUCCAUUGACCACUGGACUCCAAGUUCUCCUGAUGAUUGGCUGCUAUCUCCACUGCUGUAUUUACAGGGGGAAAUUCCCAUCUGUCAUAUGGCAUGAAGUUCCUUUUGCGCUUAAAGCAACAACAAUAAAGGCAAUUCAUGAAAAUGAGGCUUUCCUUCAUCCAGCCAAUGUUACGCCUGGCUGCUCUGAGGUUGGAGAAAUGCUUAAGAGUUGAAGACUACUAAAUCUGGAAGCUGGAAGAAGAAAAAAAGAAAACUACGUGACCAAAUGACCAGGAGAGCCAUGGCUGAGAGAAACAAUAAAGCCAGAAAGAACACACUUCUCA